rnacentral:rRNA from 1 species
UACGUAGGGGGCAAGCGUUGUCCGGAAUUACUGGGCGUAAAGCGCGCGUAGGCGGACCUGCAAGUCGGGGGUGAAAGCCCGAGGCUCAACCUCGGAACUGCCUUCGAUACUGCGGGUCUCGAGUCCGGGAGAGGUGAGUGGAAUUCCUAGUGUAGAGGUGAAAUUCGUAGAUAUUAGGAAGAACACCAGUGGCGAAGGCGGCUCACUGGCCCGGUACUGACGCUGAGGCGCGAAAGCGUGGGGAGCAAACAGG